GAUGAACGCUGGCGGCGUGCCUAAUACAUGCAAGUAGAACGCUGAAGGAAGGAGCUUGCUCUUUCCGGAUGAGUUGCGAACGGGUGAGUAACGCGUAGGUAACCUGCCUGGUAGCGGGGGAUAACUAUUGGAAACGAUAGCUAAUACCGCAUAACAGUAGAUGUUGCAUGAUAUCUACUUAAAAGGUGCAAUUGCACCACUACCAGAUGGACCUGCGUUGUAUUAGCUAGUUGGUGAGGUAACGGCUCGCCAAGGCGACGAUACAUAGCCGACCUGAGAGGGUGAUCGGCCACACUGGGACUGAGACACGGCCCAGACUCCUACGGGAGGCAGCAGUAGGGAAUCUUCGGCAAUGGACGGAAGUCUGACCGAGCAACGCCGCGUGAGUGAAGAAGGUUUUCGAAUCGUAAAGCUCUGUUGUAAGAGAAGAACGAGUGUGAGAGUGGAAAGUUCACACUGUGACGGUAUCUUACCAGAAAGGGACGGCUAACUACGUG
rnacentral:rRNA from 1 species